GGAUCCAGACUUUGAUUCUGGCUCACGAUGAACGCUAGCUACAGGCUUAACACAUGCAAGUCGAGGGGAAACGACAUCGAAAGCUUGCUUUUGAUGGGCGUCGACCGGCGCACGGGUGAGUAACGCGUAUCCAACCUGCCCACCACUUGGGGAUAACCUUGCGAAAGUAAGACUAAUACCCAAUGAUAUCUCUAGAAGACAUCUGAAAGAGAUUAAAGAUUUAUCGGUGAUGGAUGGGGAUGCGUCUGAUUAGCUUGUUGGCGGGGUAACGGCCCACCAAGGCGACGAUCAGUAGGGGUUCUGAGAGGAAGGUCCCCCACGUUGGAACUGAGACACGGUCCAAACUCCUACGGGAGGCAGCAGUGAGGAAUAUUGGUCAAUGGGCGAGAGCCUGAACCAGCCAAGUAGCGUGCAGGAUGACGGCCCUAUGGGUUGUAAACUGCUUUUAUAAGGGAAUAAAGUGAGUCUCGUGAGACUUUUUGCACGUACCUUAUGAAUAAGGACCGGCUAAUUCCGUGCCAGCAGCCGCGGUAAUACGGAAGGUCCGGGCGUUAUCCGGAUUUAUUGGGUUUAAAGGGAGCGUAGGCCGGAGAUUAAGCGUGUUGUGAAAUGUAGAUGCUCAACAUCUGAACUGCAGCGCGAACUGGUUUCCUUGAGUACGCACAAAGUGGGCGGAAUUCGUGGUGUAGCGGUGAAAUGCUUAGAUAUCACGAAGAACUCCGAUUGCGAAGGCAGCUCACUGGAGCGCAACUGACGCUGAAGCUCGAAAGUGCGGGUAUCGAACAGGAUUAGAUACCCUGGUAGUCCGCACGGUAAACGAUGGAUGCCCGCUGUUGGUCUGAACAGGUCAGCGGCCAAGCGAAAGCAUUAAGCAUCCCACCUGGGGAGUACGCCGGCAACGGUGCAA
rnacentral:rRNA from 1 species